CAGAGGUUACGAAACCAACCAAGCAAGGCAAGUCGGCCAUCAGGCUCAGCCUCCCAUGAAGCGCUCCUGACUUCCCACCCUUCCUCCAGGCCAGGAGUCUGCCAAUCACAAUCUGGGUUCUGUUUUCCCGCCUUUCCUGGCAGCACAAACCACGGCUCCGGAUGGUGAGCAAUGCAAGUUCCAGGCAUGCCUUGCUGCAUUACUGGGUUCCCAGGUGUCACUUCAUCCAGAGGCUCAUAGGCUCCACAUGGGCUGACCUCUUGGCUGCCCCUGGAUUGGGGGCCCUUCUGCUUGGUGUACCAAGCCCCCGAGAGGGUGCCUGUCACUCAAGGACUGCUGGAGGAAAGAAGGGCUCUCUGAUCCCUAGAAGGAGGCCACCUCUGGUCCUGCGCAGCUGAGAGGGGCUCCACACAGAUCCUCCUCCUCUAAAUGUCUGUUUUCCUCCUGUGUGAACCAAAGGGCUCACUUGUUGUUUCUGCUGCUUUUAAAAUUGUGAGUAGAUAUGUUUUUUGCCAGGGCAGCUUGCUCCAGGAUCUCACAGGAACAGAGGGCAUGGUGCCUACAGCAAAGCCAGUCUGCCGUGGGACUGCCGGCCUCUGCCUGCUGCUGAGUGGGGCAGGCAGGAUGUGCAGAGGGGCUGGCCUGAUCCCAUGGUCCUGAAGACAGGACCAGCUUUGGGAGGAAGCUGAGUUUGUCUGCAUGAAGGAGCUGCAUUUGCACCUGCCGACCCCCUGCAGGGAUUGGCAGAUGGAAUUGCUCAAUAAACAUUCAACAAAGUAUCUGUCUUAGUCAAGAUUCCUUUGCUUACAAGUUUAAGCAAAAAGAAGUUUCUCUGGGAAAGUUCUCAUAACUGCAGGAAGAGAAGGGUGUAGGUGGGCCUCAGAGACAGCUGGAACCAAGGACUGACACCGCACCAAAAUUCACUUGCACCUUCUGCCCUCGCUCCAGUUCCUCCCCAUGGUGAAAGACUUGACUAUAAAUGGCUCCAGCACUUUCUGGCUCCAAAUCCACAGGGGAAAUAAGCUACUUCUUUAUAUUCUCACACUGAAAAAUUUCAGGGAAGAAUGCUGACUGACCCAACUUGAGCCAAUUACUCAACCUUGGACCAAUCACUGUGAAGAGGGUAUCCAGGAAUAUGGCAUUUCCCAUUCAAAGAUCAUGGUCAGAAAAGAGUGAGGAGUGGAUCCUGGGAGAUGGAGGAUGCUGUUCUGGGCAGACAAAAUGGAGUUAAACAUUACAAGAAAGAAUGAUUAAGUAAAUGAAUGAGCCAAGAGCUACACAUGUCCUUACAGAUAAUGGCACAAUUUCCACAGUGUUUGCAAAGAAUUCUCUCUGGUUCUUACUGUAGCCCUAUGAAUCCACAUCUCACAUAUGAGGAAAGACGGUCAAAGUUACAAGUGAAAAAAAUGCAGCCAGGAUUCCACCCCCUGAUGGCAUAUUAGAUGUGUGUACUUGGAGUUUUUCCUCCCACAGAAGUGUGGGCAGCUAGACCUCUCCUGAGCAGUCACUGGAGAAGAGGGCAAGUGUUUAUCUGUGAGGGAGGGAAAAGGGAUUCUGUCAAGGGUUAGCUCUAAGCCCAUUUCUGCACCAACUCUCAUGUUGGGAAACCUUUUCUUGCCUCAGUCAGCAUGAGAACAUAACUGCUUCUUUGGGGAUUUGAGACCAUGCCAUCUUUGCUUUAGUGUUAAACUGUGAUUAUUUUAGCUUGUAUCUGGAGCCCUAAGGGCCCAGGACAUGGAGGUCAUUAUCCAGAACCAGACACAGAUGAGAGGCCCUUGACUUGGGACUUAGAGGGCAAAUGGGCAGCUCAGUUUUCACUUCCUACUAGCUCUCUGACACACACACCAGGGAAUUCACUGCUUUUUCCUGUGCCUUUAUUCUAACACAUGGCACUUGCUGCAGUGCCUCAUAGUCAGGGGGCUAGACUUGCUUCUUAAGGUCAAGGCCUGAAUCCGUUUAUCUUAUCCUCUCAGAACUUGAAGUCUAUGGUAGAUGGUUUGCAAAGAUGGCUUCAAUAACCCCUCCCAUUCCUAUGUGCAUGCCCCUUUGCAACAUAACUCUGCUACUUUUUCCUUGAAGAGGUCAAGUCUCUUUCCCUACCCCUUGAAUUUGGGCUUGCCUGUGACUUGCUUUGACCACCAGAAUGCAGCAGCCUAGUCCUCAAGAGGCGUUGCAGCUUUUGCUCUUGUCCUCUUAGCAUCUGCCAAUCUACAUGUGAACAUGCCUGGGCUAGCCUGAUGGAGCAUGACAAGCCACGUGGAGUAGACAAAUACCAUCCCAGUUGAGGCUCACCAGACCAACUCACUACAGCCAGCACCAAGUGUCAGACAUGAAUAUGACCUUCUUGGACCUUCCCCCUCAGUCAAGCCACCAGAAGACUGCAGCCCCACUAAUGAGCCCAGGGGAGACUAAGGAAAGAAUCUCUCAGCUGAGCCUAGCCUUAAUUGCUGACUUACAGAAUUAUGAGCAAAUAAAAUAGUUGUUUUCAGCAGCUAAGUUUUGAAGUGGUGUGUUACACAGUGAUAGAAAAUGGGUACAGGGUAGUUCUUAGUUGUAGUAUGUUGAAUUGCCUCUUCCCAAAAAAUAUGCUCAAGUCCUAACCCCUGAUACCUGUGAAUGUGACCUUAUUUAGAAAUAGGGUCUUUGCAGAUGUAAUCAAGUUAAGAUGAGGUCAUACAGGAUGAGGGUGGGCCCUAAAUCCAAUGACUGAUGUCUUUAUAAGAUUUGGAUACAGAGACACAGAGGAGACACAGGGAAGAAGGCCAUGUAAUGACGAGGGUAGAGAUUGAAGUGACUCAACGUAUAAGCCAAGGAAUACCAAGGACUGCCAGGAGCCAUCAGAAGCCAGGAAGAAUUCCCCCUUAGCAUCUUCAGAGGGAGCAUGGCCCUGUGAACACCUUGAUUUCAGACUGCUAGCCUCCAGAACUGUGAGAGAAUACAUUCCUGCGUUAAGCCACCCAGUUUGUGACCAUUUGUUAUGGCAGCUCGAGAAAAUUAAUACACGAGUUCAGAAUUUUGCUCAGAAAGUGCCAGCUGGCUGAAUGGAGAAGCUGAGAAGUGGAGGAUAAUUAACUUGCCCUUUUGGCACCUCGCCCCUCCAUUGACUUCAGUCACCAUGCUGCUGGGUCACCACCUCCCAGGGCUCAGACACCUGCAUCUUCUGCCCAGCCCUCGGGGGUCUGGCUCCAGGUCUGCACACACACACGAACCCGGGCACAGUGCUCAGGGCAUUCUUUAUGUAUGCGUAUAUACACACUUUUUUUUCUGCACAUAAAAAUAGUUCGUGAAAAUCUAAGUAAGCUUAGAAAAUAUAGCAAAGUAGGCCAGGCGUGGUGGCUCAUGCCUGUAAUCCCAGCACUUUGGGAGGCUGAGGUGGGUAGAUUACUUGAGGCCAAGAGUUCAAGACCAGCCUGGCCAGCAUGUCAAAACCCCAUCUCUACUAAAAGUACAAAAAUUAGCUGGGCAUGGUGGCGGCCACCUGUAAUCACAGCUACUUGGGAGACUGAGGCAAGAAUCACUUGAACCUGGGAGGUGGGGGUUGCAGUGAGUCGAGAUCAUGCCACUGCACUCCAGCCUGGCGAGAGAGCGAGACUCUGUCUCAAGAUAUAUACAUUUAUAGCAAAGUAAAAAGAAGAAAAAAAAUACCCAAAACUUUAUCGUCCAGUGAUAACCACUGUCAACAUUUCAUUUUUUUUUUUUUUUUUUUUUUUUUUUUUUUGUGAGACGGAGAUUUACUCUUGUUGUCCAGGCUGGAGUGCAAUGGCGCGAUCUCAGCUCACCGCAUUCUCCGCCUCCCAGGUUCAAGCGAUUCUCCUGCCUCAGCCUCCCGAGUCGCUGGGAUUACAGGCAUGUGUCACCACGCCCGGCUAAUUUUGUAUUUUUAGUAGAGACGGGGUUUCGCCGUGUUGCCCAGGCUGAUCUCGAACUCCUGACCUCAGGUAAUCCGCCCGCCUUGGCCUCCCAAAGUGCUGGGAUUACAUGCGUGAGCCACUGCACCUGGCAACAUUUCAUUUUUAAAUUGUUAUAGUCUUUUCAUUUAUACAAAUAUUGGUAUAUGAUUUUUCAAAGCAAAAAAUGGGAUCAUACUGUUG
rnacentral:lncRNA from 1 species